rnacentral:rRNA from 1 species
UACGUAGGGUGCAAGCGUUGUCCGGAAUUAUUGGGCGUAAAGAGCUCGUAGGCGGUUCGUCGCGUCGGCUGUGAAAACCUGAGGCUCAACCUCAGGCCUGCAGUCGAUACGGGCGGACUAGAGUUCGGCAGGGGAGACUGGAAUUCCUGGUGUAGCGGUGAAAUGCGCAGAUAUCAGGAGGAACACCGGUGGCGAAGGCGGGUCUCUGGGCCGAUACUGACGCUGAGGAGCGAAAGCGUGGGGAGCGAACAGG